GCUCAGGAUGAACGCUAGCUACAGGCUUAACACAUGCAAGUCGAGGGGUAGCAGGGUAGCAAUACCGCUGACGACCGGCGCACGGGUGAGUAGCACGUAUCCAACCUUCCCAUAACUCGGGGAUAGCCUUUCGAAAGAAAGAUUAAUACCCGAUAGUACUUAUAUAAGGCAUCUUAAAUAAGUUAGAGAUUUAUUGGUUAUGGAUGGGGAUGCGUUCCAUUAGAUAGUUGGUGAGGUAAUGGCUCACCAAGUCUUCGAUGGAUAGGGGUUCUGAGAGGAAGGUCCCCCACAUUGGUACUGAGACACGGACCAAACUCCUACGGGAGGCAGCAGUGAGGAAUAUUGGUCAAUGGGCGAGAGCCUGAACCAGCCAA
rnacentral:rRNA from 1 species